AUCGCUUCUCGGCUCACCGAGCUUAGAUUAAGUGUAGUAUCUGUUCUUCUCAGGUUACUACCCUGUGACGGAAACGAUUCGUUUCCUCUAUGUAUUAAUCGGA
rnacentral:snRNA from 1 species